rnacentral:rRNA from 1 species
UACGUAGGGUGCAAGCGUUGUCCGGAAUUACUGGGCGUAAAGGGCUCGUAGGCGGCCAACUAAGUCGGAUGUGAAAUCCCCAGGCUCAACCUGGGAACUGCAUCCGAUACUGGAUGGCUUGAAUCCGGGAGAGGGAUGCAGAAUUCCAGGUGUAGCGGUGAAAUGCGUAGAUAUCUGGAGGAACACCGGUGGCGAAGGCGGCGUCCUGGACCAACACUGACACUGAUGAGCGAAAGCCAGGGGAGCAAACGGG